rnacentral:rRNA from 1 species
GAUGAACGCUGGCGGCGCGCCUAGUACAUGCAAGUCGAGCGAAUGGAUUAAGAGCUUGCUCUUAUGAGGUUAGCGGCGGACGGGUGAGUAACACGUGGGUAACCUGCCCAUAAGACUGGGAUAACUCCGGGAAACCGGGGCUAAUACCGGAUAACAUUUUGAACCGCAUGGUUCGAAAUUGAAAGGCGGCUUCGGCUGUCACUUAUGGAUGGACCCGCGUCGCAUUAGCUAGUUGGUGAGGUAACGGCUCACCAAGGCAACGAUGCGUAGCCGACCUGAGAGGGUGAUCGGCACCACUGGGACUGGGACACGGCCCAGACUCCUACGGGAGGCAGCAGUAGGGAAUCUUCCGCAAUGGACGAAAGUCUGACGGAGCAACGCCGCGUGAGUGAUGAAGGCUUUCGGGUCGUAAAACUCUGUUGUUAGGGAAGAACAAGUGCUAGUUGAAUAAGCUGGCACCUUGACGGUACCUAACCAGAAAGCCACGGCUAACUACGUGCCAGCCGCCGCCGUAA